UGAGGAAUAUUGGUCAAUGGGCGAGAGCCUGAACCAGCCAAGUCGCGUGAAGGAAGAAGGUUCUAUGGAUUGUAAACUUCUUUUGCAUGGGAAUAAAGUGAGCUACGAGUAGUUUAUUGUAUGUACUGUGCGAAUAAGGAUCGGCUAACUCCGUGCCAGCAGCCGCGGUAAUACGGAGGCUCCGAGCGUUAUCCGGAUUUAUUGGGUUUAAAGGGUGCGUAGGCGGGAGAUUAAGUCAGCGGUGAAAGUUUGCAGCUUAACUGUAAAAUUGCCGUUGAAACUGAUUUUCUUGAGUGUAAAUAAGGUAGGCGGAAUGUGUUGUGUAGCGGUGAAAUGCAUAGAUAUAACACAGAACCCCGAUUGCGAAGGCAGCUUACCGGGCUACAACUGACGCUGAGGCACGAAAGCGUGGGGAUCAAACA
rnacentral:rRNA from 1 species